AGCAGCCGCGGUAAUUCCAGCUCCAAUAGCGUAUAUUAAAGUUGUUGCAGUUAAAAAGCUCGUAGUUGAAUUUCGGGGUCAGUAGGUUGGUCAUGCCUCCGGUAUGUACUGGUCUCACUGAUUCCUCCUUCCUGAUGAGCCGUAAUGCCAUUAAUUUGGUGUUGCGGGGAAUCUGGACUGUUACUUUGAAAAAAUUAGAGUGUUUAAAGCAGGCUCGCGCUUGAAUACAUUAGCAUGGAAUAAUGAAAUAGGACGUUUGAUUCUAUUUUGUUGGUUUCUAGGAUCGACGUAAUGAUUAAUAGGGAUAGUUGGGGGCAUUAGUAUUCAAUUGUCAGAGGUGAAAUUCUUGGAUUUAUUGAAGACUAACUACUGCGAAAGCAUUUGCCAAGGAUGUUUUCAUUAAUCAAGAACGAAAGUUAGGGGAUCGAAGACGAUCAGAUACCGUCGUAGUCUUAACCAUAAACUAUGCCGACUAGGGAUCGGAUGAUGUUAAUUUUUAAUGACUCAUUCGGCGUCCG
rnacentral:rRNA from 1 species